AUAACAGGUCUGUGAUGCCCUUAGAUGUCCAGGGCUGCACGCGCGCUACACUGGAGGAAUCAGCGUGCUGUAACCAUUGCCGAAAGGUAUUGGUAACCCCUUGAAAAUCCUCCGUGAUCGGGAUCGGGAAUUGCAAUUAUUUCCCUUGAACGAGGAAUUCCUAGUAAGUGUGAGUCAUCAGCUCACGUUGAUUACGUCCCUGCCCUUUGUACACACCGCCCGUCGCUGCCCGGGACUGAGCCGUUUCGAGAAAAGCGGGGACUGCUGUUUCGAUACCUUUCGGGGUGGAGAUUCUUUGGUGGAAACCGCCUUAAUCGCAGUGGCUUGAACCGGGCAAAAGUCGUAACAAGGUUUCCGUAGGUGAACCUGCGGAAGGAUCAUUAUCGAGCUAAGACGAAAAGUCUCCGAACGUGCAUGCCUUCCAUAUGCGCGUAUACGUGAGCCGCACAGUGAGCUGCACACAUGUGGUGGGUGGUGGCCGUCAGCCGUGUUUUUUUGGCAGACAAUGGUCUGUAGCUUGCUGUGUGUUGAGGGGGGAUAGGUGACGUAUUGGGGCUAGUUAGAAAGGUACGUCGCCGGCGCCUAUCCUCUCGUUAUUGGUAAAAACGGUAUCCCACUUUGGGUGUCUGCGCCUCACCUAGUUACUGCCUGGACCGUCGGUAGCUAUUAGAGGUGGGGAGAAAGCUCCUUGUCGUCUUCACGACGGCGAGUCGAGUAGACUUAAUGAGCCUCAGCUAGGAGGCCACCAAAACCCAAACACAACCAGUCUUUUGUUUGAAAUGUUGUGAAGGUACUUCCUCGUGUUGUGCCUUUGAAACUGAGUAUAAAUCUUAGCGGUGGAUCACUCGGUUCGUGGAUCGAUGAAGAACGCAG
rnacentral:rRNA from 1 species